CCUAAUACAUGCAAGUCGUACGCGUUGGCCCAACUGAUUUGAAGUGCUUGCACGGAUCUGACGUUGGUUUACCAACGAGUGGCGGACGGGUGAGUAACACGUAGGUAACCUGCCCAGAAGCGGGGGACAACACUUGGAAACAGGUGCUAAUACCGCAUAACAAUUCAAAUCGCAUGAUUUGAAUUUGAAAGAUGGUUUCGGCUAUCACUUCUGGAUGGACCUGCGGCGCAUUAGCUUGUUGGUGGGGUAACGGCCUACCAAGGCAGUGAUGCGUAGCCGAGUUGAGAGACUGAUCGGCCACAAUGGGACUGAGACACGGCCCAUACUCCUACGGGAGGCAGCAGUAGGGAAUCUUCCACAAUGGGCGCAAGCCUGAUGGAGCAACACCGCGUGAGUGAAGAAGGUUUUCGGAUCGUAAAGCUCUGUUGUUGAAGAAGAACGUGCAUGAGAGUAACUGUUCAUGCAGUGACGGUAUUCAACCAGAAAGUCACGGCUAACUACGUGCCAGCAGCCGCGGUAAUACGUAGGUGGCAAGCGUUAUCCGGAUUUAUUGGGCGUAAAGAGAGUGCAGGCGGUUUCUUAAGUCUGAUGUGAAAGCCUUCGGCUCAACCGAAGAAGUGCAUCGGAAACUGGGAAACUUGAGUACAGAAGAGGGCAGUGGAACUCCAUGUGUAGCGGUGGAAUGCGUAGAUAUAUGGAAGAACACCAGUGGCGAAGGCGGCUGCCUGGUCUGUAACUGACGCUGAGACUCGAAAGCAUGGGUAGCGAACAGGAUUAGAUACCCUGGUAGUCCAUGCCGUAAACGAUGAGUGCUAGGUGUUGGAGGGUUUCCGCCCUUCAGUGCCGGAGCUAACGCAUUAAGCACUCCGCCUGGGGAGUACGACCGCAAGGUUGAAACUCAAAGGAAUUGACGGGGGCCCGCACAAGCGGUGGAGCAUGUGGUUUAAUUCGAAGCUACGCGAAGAACCUUACCAGGUCUUGACAUCUUGCGCCAACCCUAGAGAUAGGGCGUUUCCUUCGGGAACGCAAUGACAGGUGGUGCAUGGUCGUCGUCAGCUCGUGUCGUGAGAUGUUGGGUUAAGUCCCGCAACGAGCGCAACCCUUGUUACUAGUUGCCAGCAUUNAGUUGGGCACUCUAGUGAGACUGCCGGUGACAAACCGGAGGAAGGUGGGGACGACGUCAGAUCAUCAUGCCCCUUAUGACCUGGGCUACACACGUGCUACAAUGGACGGUACAACGAGCAGCGAACUCGCGAGGGCAAGCAAAUCUCUUAAAACCGUUCUCAGUUCGGAUUGCAGGCUGCAACUCGCCUGCAUGAAGUCGGAAUCGCUAGUAAUCGCGGAUCAGCAUGCCGCGGUGAAUACGUUCCCGGGCCUUGUACACACCGCCCGUCACACCAUGAGAGUUUGUAACACCCAAAGUCGGUGGGGUAACCUUUUGGAGCCAGCCGCCUAAGGUGGGACAGAUGAUUAGGGUGAAGUCGUAACAAGGUAGCCGUAGGAGAACCUGCGGUUGGAU
rnacentral:rRNA from 2 species